rnacentral:rRNA from 1 species
AUUGAACGCUGGCGGAAUGCUUUACACAUGCAAGUCGAACGGCAGCACGGACUUCGGUCUGGUGGCGAGUGGCGAACGGGUGAGUAAUGUAUCGGAACGUGCCCAGUCGUGGGGGAUAACGUAGUGAAAAUUACGCUAAUACCGCAUACGAUCUAUGGAUGAAAGCGGGGGAUCGCAAGACCUUGCGCGAUUGGAGCGGCCGAUAUCAGAUUAGGUAGUUGGUGGGGUAAAGGCCCACCAAGCCAACGAUCUGUAGCUGGUCUGAGAGGACGACCAGCCACACUGGAACUGAGACACGGUCCAGACUCCUACGGGAGGCAGCAGUGGGGAAUUUUGGACAAUGGGCGCAAGCCUGAUCCAGCCAUUCCGCGUGCAGGAUGAAGGCCCUCGGGUUGUAAACUGCUUUUGUACAGAACGAAAAGGUUUCUACUAAUACUAGGAGCUCAUGACGGUACUGUAAGAAUAAGCACCGGCUAACUACGUGCA